ACGUAGGUGGCAAGCGUUGUCCGGAAUUAUUGGGCGUAAAGAGCAUGUAGGUGGGCUUUUAAGUCCGAUGUGAAAAUGCGGGGCUCAACCCCGUAUGGAAUUGGAUACUGGAAGUCUUGAGUGCAGGGGAGGAAAGGGGAAUUCCCAGUGUAGCGGUGAAAUGCUUAGAUAUGGCAAGGAACACCGGUGGCGAAGGCGCCUUACUGGACAAUGUCUGACGCUGAGGCGCGAAAGCGUGGGGAGCAAACAG
rnacentral:rRNA from 1 species